UCCCUGCACCCAGCGGCCUUCCAAGCGGGGCCUCCCGCCCCGGGGUCCGCUGGACAACGCGCAUGCAGCUCGGAGCUCCGGCUUUCUCGGCCCCACGUGGGAGGCUGCAAAGGCCUGGCCAAUAGAAGCGGCCUGGUGGGAUGUUGUCCCAAUAUCCCGAGUGGACACAAACUAUCAGCGUUCAUCUUUAAGGCCCUGGCAGGCAAGCCUACGUUCAGAAGCCAUACCCUCUCACGUGACGUUUUUAAAGAGGUCUUUGUCUAACAGGAAGCCUCACCCAAGGAAGCUUUCUUUAUCAGAAACUCCAGCGGACUGCCUUAGAGGACCUUCCUCAGUCAAUUCCUGCUGGACAUUUUGAGUGCCAGGUUGAUUUUGUUUCCGCUUCUAACCAUCCAUACAUCUGACAUCGGUUCUUUUACUUUACCUUACUGUACGUUUAAUAAACUCACUCAUC